rnacentral:tRNA from 1 species
AGAAGUGUGGCUUAGUGGAAAGAGCAUGGGCUUGGGAGUCAGAGGUCGUGGGUUCUCAUCCCGCCUCUGCCA